AUUGAACGCUGGCGGCAGGCCUAACACAUGCAAGUCGAACGAGUGGCGGACGGGUGAGUAAUGUCUGAGAAACUGCCUGGGGGAGGGAGAUCACUACGGGAAGCGGUAGCUAACACCGCAAACUAUGAGAUGCGCCCAGAUGGGAUUAGCUAGGUGGUGGGGAAACGGCUCACCAAGGCGACGAUCCCUCGCUGGUCUGAGAGGAUGACCAGCCACACUGGAACUGAGACACGGUCCAGACUCCUACGGGAGGCAGCAGUGGGGAAUAUUGCACAAUGGGCGCAAGCCUGAUGCAGCCAUGCCGCGUGUAUGAAGAAGGCCUUCGGGUUGUAAAGUACUUUCAGCGGGGAGGCGUUACCCGCAGAAGAAGCACCGGCUAACUCCGUGCCAGCAGCCGCGGUAAUAC
rnacentral:rRNA from 1 species